rnacentral:rRNA from 1 species
GAUGAACGCUAGCGGGAGGCCUAACACAUGCAAGCCGAGCGGUAUUUCUUCUUCGGAAGAGAGAGAGCGGCGUACGGGUGCGUAACACGUGUGCAACCUACCUUUAUCUGGGGGAUAGCCUUUCGAAAGGAAGAUUAAUACCCCAUAAUAUAAUGAUUGGCAUCAAUUAUUAUUGAAAACUCCGGUGGAUAGAGAUGGGCACGCGCAAGAUUAGAUAGUUGGUGAGGUAACGGCUCACCAAGUCUGUGAUCUUUAGGGGUCCUGAGAGGGAGAUCCCCCACACUGGUACUGAGACACGGACCAGACUCCUACGGGAGGCAGCAGUGAGGAAUAUUGGACAAUGGGUGAGAGCCUGAUCCAGCCAUCCCGCGUGAAGGAUGACGGUCCUAUGGAUUGUAAACUUCUUUUGUACAGGGAUAAACCUACUCUCGUGAGGGUAGCUGAAGGUACUGUACGAAUAAGCACCGGCUAACUCCGUGC